UACAGAGGUCUCAAGCGUUGUUCGGAUUCAUUGGGCGUAAAGGGUGCGUAGGCGGCUCGGUAAGUCGGGUGUGAAAUCUUGGAGCUUAACUCCGAAACUGCAUUCGAUACUGCCGUGCUUGAGGACUGGAGAGGAGACUGGAAUUUACGGUGUAGCGGUGAAAUGCGUAGAUAUCAAGUGGAACACCGGUGGCGAAGGCGGCCUUCUGGACAGUGACUGACGCUGAGACGCGAAAGCGUGGGGAGCAAACAGG
rnacentral:rRNA from 1 species